rnacentral:rRNA from 1 species
AUUCCAGCUCCAAUAGCGUAUAUUAAAGUUGUUGCAGUUAAAAAGCUCGUAGUUGGAUUUCUGUUCUCGAGGAUCGGUCCGCCUCACGGUGAGCACUGGUUUUUCUUGGGGACAUCCUCUCGAAGGCGGGUGGUGCACUUAAUUGUGUGCUGCUUGGAUUCGGGACCUUUACUUUGAAAAAAUUAGAGUGUUCAAAGCAGGCGUCGGCUUGAAUACAUUAGCAUGGAAUAAUGGAAUAGGGCUUUGGUUCUAUUUUGUUGGUUUCUAGGACCGAAGUAAUGAUUAAUAGGGACAGUUGGGGGCAUUAGUAUUUAAUUGUCGGAGGUGAAAUUCUUGGAUUUAUGGAAGACGAACUGCUGCGAAAGCGUCGAACAAGGACGUUCUCAUCA